UACGGCUACAUCACGUUGAAUCACCGGUUCUAGUAUGAUCACUGAAGUUAAACAACGUUGAAUCUGGUCAUUACCAAGAUGGGUGACUGCUUGGGAAUAUCAGGUGCUGUAAG